GACGAACGCUGGCGGCGUGCCUAAUACAUGCAAGUAGAACGCUGAAGAGAGGAGCUUGCUCUUCUUGGAUGAGUUGCGAACGGGUGAGUAACGCGUAGGUAACCUGCCUUGUAGCGGGGGAUAACUAUUGGAAACGAUAGCUAAUACCGCAUAACAAUGGAUGACACAUGUCAUUUAUUUGAAAGGGGCAAUUGCUCCACUACAAGAUGGACCUGCGUUGUAUUAGCUAGUAGGUGAGGUAAUGGCUCACCUAGGCGACGAUACAUAGCCGACCUGAGAGGGUGAUCGGCCACACUGGGACUGAGACACGGCCCAGACUCCUACGGGAGGCAGCAGUAGGGAAUCUUCGGCAAUGGGGGCAACCCUGACCGAGCAACGCCGCGUGAGUGAAGAAGGUUUUCGGAUCGUACAGCUCUGUUGUAAGUCAAGAACGGGUGUGAGAGUGGAAAGUUCACACUGUGACGGUAGCUUACCAGAAAGGGACGGCUAACUACGUG
rnacentral:rRNA from 1 species